rnacentral:rRNA from 1 species
GCAAGUCGAGCGAAGUUAUUUUAAAGCUUGCUUUAAAAUAACUUAGCGGCGGACGGGUGAGUAACGCGUGGGCAACCUACCCUAUACAGAGGGAUAGCCUCGGGAAACCGGGAUUAAUACCUCAUAAAACUCUAGUAUCGCAUGAUACAUGAGUCAAAGAUUUAUCAGUAUAGGAUGGGCCCGCGUCUGAUUAGCUAGUUGGUAAGGUAAUGGCUUACCAAGGCGACGAUCAGUAGCCGACCUGAGAGGGUGAUC